UACGUAGGGUGCGAGCGUUGUCCGGAAUUACUGGGCGUAAAGAGCUCGUAGGCGGUUUGUCGCGUCGUCUGUGAAAUCCUCCAGCUUAACUGGGGGCGUGCAGGCGAUACGGGCAGACUUGAGUACUACAGGGGAGACUGGAAUUCCUGGUGUAGCGGUGAAAUGCGCAGAUAUCAGGAGGAACACCGGUGGCGAAGGCGGGUCUCUGGGUAGUAACUGACGCUGAGGAGCGAAAGCAUGGGUAGCGAACAGGAUUAGAUACCA
rnacentral:rRNA from 1 species